AUAUUUAACCCAGGAACAGCUUCCACUACUCCUACUAUGUUACGACUUAUCUUAUCUUCCAACAAGAGCGACGGGCGAUAUGUACGCAUCACAAAACCCAAUUCAUAAAAACACACUAUUUAAAUUUUAUUACUACCAAGUCCAACUUCAUAGAUCAAUUACAUGACCCAAUCAGAUUAAAUAUAAUAAAUUGUAGCUCAUUUUAUAAACCUUUCUUAUAAGCUGCAUUUUGACUUGACAUCACAAUCUAAUUCAUUAUAAAGUUUUUUCUAAAAUUUUUACAAAAUAAACUGACGACAGCAAUACACAAACUGAUUAAAUAAUUUUUAUUCAAAAGAAAGUAAGUAUAAAUUGAGGAAUAUCAAAUUAAUAAACAAGCUCCCCUGGAAGGAUAUAUGACACCGCCAAGCCUUUUAAGUUUCAAGCAUAAAUAUUAAAUAACAUAUUUAUUAAUAACUCUUACUACUUAAAUAAAAAAUUUUUUAAAAUAAAGAAUAAUAGGGUCUCUAAUCCUAGUCUUCUUAAACCUUAUUUUCAAAGAACCUAUUAAUUAGAACAAUAUCAUUAAUUAUAUAAAUUAAAUUUUACCUACAAUUUAUAUACUCACUAGUCCUAAUUCUCAUUAUAAUUAUCACUUUAUUUUAUACUAUAUAAAUAUAAAUUUAAAGUAUUGGUAUAACCGCAGAUGCUGGCACCAAUUUAACCACCUUUAAAUUACAAUAACUAUAUCAAACUUUCAUUCAUUGUAUAAAAAUAAAUACUGCGUAAUUCACUUAUUAUAUCUUAAUAUUAUAUUAACAUAACACAACUAUUUAUAUAAAAAUAUUAAAUUUAAAUAUAAAUAACAUUUUAAAUAAACCGAUAAAUAACCCAAACCUAGCAUGUAUAAACUUAAUAACAACUUAUAUAAUAACCAAAGCCAAAUUAAAUCAAAAAUCAUUUACUGAUAUAUUAGUUCACACUAAUUAGCCUACCUUCAUUUUUGCAA
rnacentral:rRNA from 1 species